AUGCACGCUGGCGGCGUGCCUCAUCCCUGCAAGUCGAGCGAACAGACGAGGAGCUUGCUCCUCUGACGUUAGCGGCGGACGGGUGAGUAACACGUGGAUAACCUACCUAUAAGACUGGGAUAACUUCGGGAAACCGGAGCUAAUACCGGAUAAUAUAUUGAACCGCAUGGUUCAAUAGUGAAAGACGGUUUUGCUGUCACUUAUAGAUGGAUCCGCGCCGCAUUAGCUAGUUGGUAAGGUAACGGCUUACCAAGGCAACGAUGCGUAGCCGACCUGAGAGGGUGAUCGGCCACACUGGAACUGAGACACGGUCCAGACUCCUACGGGAGGCAGCAGUAGGGAAUCUUCCGCAAUGGGCGAAAGCUUGACGGAGCAACGCCGCGUGAGUGAUGAAGGUCUUCGGAUCGUAAAACUCUGUUAUUAGGGAAGAACAAAUGUGUAAGUAACUAUGCACGUCUUGACGGUACCUAAUCAGAAAGCCACGGCUAACUACGUG
rnacentral:rRNA from 1 species